GAUUCUGAUAGCUUUUAUUUGAAUAAAAAACGAGGAACACUAGGAAUAAAUAUAAAAAUAAUGAA
rnacentral:tRNA from 1 species